CAUGGCUGUUCCCAGCUCGUGUCGUGAGAUGUUGGGUUAAGUCCCGUAACGAGCGCAACCCUUGUCCUUAGUUACCAGCACGUUAUGGUGGGCACUCUAAGGAGACUGCCGGUGACAAACCGGAGGAAGGUGGGGAUGACGUCAAGUCAUCAUGGCCCUUACGGCCUGGGCUACACACGUGCUACAAUGGUCGGUACAGAGGGUUGCCAAGCCGCGAGGUGGAGCUAAUCCCAUAAAACCGAUCGUAGUCCGGAUCGCAGUCUGCAACUCGACUGCGUGAAGUCGGAAUCGCUAGUAAUCGCGAAUCAGAAUGUCGCGGUGAAUACGUUCCCGGGCCUUGUACACACCGCCCGUCACACCAUGGGAGUGGGUUGCACCAGAAGUAGCUAGUCUAACCUUCGGGAGGACGGUUACCACG
rnacentral:rRNA from 1 species